GUACACCUCGCUUCACCUCUACACAUCUUCCUGUCAACGUGCAGAGGUGAAGCGAAGUGCA
rnacentral:misc_RNA from 1 species